rnacentral:tRNA from 1 species
GGUUAGGUAAUAGAGCACACGACUUUUAAUCGUGUGGUCGCGAGUUCAAAUCUCGUCCGGCCCA